GACAGAGGGGGCAAGCGUUGUCCGGAGUUACUGGGCGUAAAGGGCGCGGAGGCGGUCUGCUGCGUCGGCGCUGAAAGCGCCCCGCUUAACGGGGCGAGGCGCGCCGAUACGAGCAGGCUAGAGGCGAGCAGAGGGUGGUGGAAUUCCGGGUGGAGCGGUGAAAUGCGUAGAGAUCCGGAGGAACGCCGGUGGAGCAGUCGGCCACCUGGGCUCGACCUGACGCUGCGGCGCGACCGCGUGGGGAGCAAACCGG
rnacentral:rRNA from 1 species